rnacentral:rRNA from 1 species
CUACGGGGUGCACCAGUGAGGAAUAUUGCACAAUGGGGGGAACCCUGAUGCAGCAACGCCGCGUGGAGGAUGACGCAUUUCGGUGUGUAAACUCCUUUUAUAUGUCAAGAAAAUGACGGUAGCAUAUGAAUAAGCACCGGCUAACUCCGUGCCAGCAGCCGCGGUAAUACGGAGGGUGCAAGCGUUACUCGGAAUCACUGGGCGUAAAGGACGCGUAGGCGGGUUGGAAAGUCAGGUGUGAAAUCCUACAGCUUAACUGUAGAACUGCACUUGAAACUUCUAAUCUAGAGGAUGGGAGGGGGAGAUGGAAUUAGUGGUGUAGGGGUAAAAUCCGUAGAUAUCACUAGGAAUACCUAAAGCGAAGGCGAUCUCCUGGAACAUUACUGACGCUAAGGCGUGAAAGCGUGGAGAGCAAACAGGAUUAGAUACCCCGGUAGUC